CUACAAUAAGAACUUCCCAUGUGACAGAAGCCAUAAUCCCUAUUGUAGUCAGAAGUUCAAUAGUUGCUGCCACUACAAAUAUAGUGGAGAAAGGUAUGUCGAAAUCCAAAAUACUCAAAUCUGAUGAA